UAAACUCUGACAUUUAUGGUCAACUGAUUUCCCACAAAGGCACCAAGAUAAUUUAAUGGAGAAAGAACAAUCUUUUCAACAAAUGGUAUUAGUACAACUGGAUUUCCACAUGCAAAACAAAUUUGGACUGUGACCCUGCCUCCUAUAUACAAAAAUUAACUCAAAAUGGAUCACACACCUAAAUGUAAGAGUUAAAACUAAAACUCUUAGGGGAAAUCAUAGGAGUACAUCUCCGUAAUCCUGGGUUAGGCGAUGAUUUUUAGAUAUGACACCAAAAGCACAAGCGAUAAAAAAAGAAGAUGAAAAAAUAAGUUGGGCUUUAGCAAAAUGAAAAACUUUUGUGCUUCAAAGGACAGAAUCAAGACAACCCUCACACUUGGCAAAAAUAUUUGCAAAUCGGGGCCGGCCCAGUGGCACAGUGGUUAAGUGCACUCAUUCCACUUCAGUGGCCCGGGGUUCGCUGGUUCAGAUCCCGGGUGCAGACAUGGAAACACUUGGCAAGCCAUGCUGUGGCAGGCGUCCCACAUAUAAAGUGGAGGAAGAUAGGCACCGCUGUUAGCUCAGGGCCAGUCUUCCUCAGCAAAAAGAGGAGGAUUGGCGGCAGAUGUUAGCUCAGGGCUAAUCUUCCAAAAAAAAAAAAAGGAGUGACUGCUAAUGGGUACGGGGUUUCUUUUGGAGAUGAUGAAAAUAUAAUUAGAUUAUAGUGAUGGUUGCACAGCUCUGUGAAUAUACUAAAAACCACUGGAUUGUGCACUUUAUUUUUUUGUUUUUAAUUUUUUUGGAUCCGAACCAGUGAAACCCUGGGCCACCGAAGCGUGUGAACUUAACCGCUCGGCCACCGGGCCGGCCCCCAUUUUCUUUUUUUUAAUCUAAUUUGCAGAACAUUCUGAAUCAGCACCAGCACGUCUUCCUCAUUCUUUUUUUUUUUUUUUUUAGCAAAUGCUUAUUUCAUCCCCUUGAUGUACCUUAAUUUCUGUAACCAGCCCCCUGCUGUCCUCCAAGAGCUCUCAGCCUGGUGGGAAAGAUGAGAAAAAAGACAGUGUGACAUGCCCAGAGUAAUCAGUGAAGCUCCUGCCCCAGCGUCCGUGAGCUCAGGCUCUGAAUGUGCUACCAACCCCUGGAUGCAGGUUCCUAACCUGCUGCCCCUGCCAGCAACCCCCCACCACUCUGGAUGAAUCCAGACCCCACAGAGAGGCUCCCUGAGCCUGACAGCGGACCUCCAGCCCAAUUCCCCUGACCUAUGUGUUCCCUAAGAUCCAGAAACGCUGGUAAAACAGGUCCUAGGAGGAGGAGAGUCUGACAAACCUCACCUGGAGCAAGAGGUCUCGGAGCUGCUUCCUGGAAAGGCUGAGAACCUUCUGAUCCUGGGAAUGAACGGGGGCAGGGUCUGCACCUCCUUCUGGAGCUGCUUGCUGAGCCGGGAACAAGGUAGGGGACUGCAGCUUGUGUCUGCAGCUGGGGGCAGGCGCGAGGGCAGGGCAAGCUCAUUGGACUCUCAUGUUCUUUCAGUCCAGGCUCUGGAUUGGCAAUCCUCCUCUGACCCCUUCCCUAUCUCUAAGCAGCUUCACACAGGCCUGACAAUCUGCAAAAAUCUACACCUGCCUCCAAAAAGACUAAGAAUACUUUCAGAAAGCACAGUCUUUCUAAAGGGCCCACCACUCCCCGCCAUCACACAGCCUCACUCAACCCCUCCCUGCGAGAAGGCAGCCUGAAGCUGAUAUGGGGGAAUAAUGGCAAGGACGCUGACUGGGGGUCAGAGCGCCUGGCUCUAGGCCCAGACCUGCUUCCUACUUGAUCUUGUCCAAGUCACUUCCUUUCUCUGACCCUCAGUUUCCUAGUAUGUAAAAUAAAGGUAACUCCUGUCCUCUUCUGCUGCUGCCACCCUUUAAAGAUCACAUGGAGAGCCCUUAACAUGCCCACUGGACCUGCCUCAUGGCCAGUCCAGGCUCACAUGGCCCAUCC
rnacentral:lncRNA from 1 species